GAUCCCUUUGCUGAUGCGUCCAAAGGUGACACUGACGAGGGAUUACAAGAAGGCCUCAUUCACAUAAGAAUUCAACAGAGAAACGGUCGCAAGACCCUUACUACUGUUCAGGGAAUAUCUGAUGAUUACGACAAAAGAAAGCUUGUGAAAGCGUGUAAAAAGGAGUUUGCCCCAUGCAAUGGUACAGUAGUUGAACAUCCUGAAUACGGAGAGGUAAUACAGCU